AACUAAUUAUAAAUUUAAUAAGCCCAGAGUGUAUAUAAAGUCACGAAUUUAUUUUUUCUAUACUCUCUAGUUUCAAAAUGUUGCCAAUUAUAUUUUUACUGUUGCUGGUAGUAUCUUCUUGUUUAGCAAAUGGAGCCGGACCGGUAGGCAAGAUUGAAAUUAAAAAAAUUGACGCCUGUGAUAAUUCAAACUACCAAUUGAAAAUUCAAUUUGAUUCAAGUGCAGGCGAUGGCAAAACUUUUAAUAUUCAAUUUAAAACUACCAGGACCAUAAAUGAAAACUGGACGUUCCGAGGUGAUGUUGACAAGUGGACAGGUACAGCAUGGAAAACUGGAGUCAUGAAAGGCGACGGAAAAAUGUGCCAAGCAGCUAAUGAAGCAGUUCCGGCUUUAAAGGAACGCGUAUUUAAGGCUUUAAACGUGAAGAAGUGUGAACUUGCACCUGGAUCAUACUCGUUGAAAGCCAUGAAAUUCUUUGAAAAAGAUAUCAAAAUGAAAGCGCUACCGUAUGGAAAGUUCCGAAUUACUGUGAAAGCAUGGGACGACAAAAAGACGAUUGUUGCGUGCUUUGUUGGCGAAGGCGAACACUCACCUAAGAUUUAAUUGUUUAAAUGCAAUAUAAAUGUAUGAUAUAAAUAUAUCUAUGUGCAAAGAUA